rnacentral:rRNA from 1 species
AUUGAACGCUGGCGGCAUGCCUAACACAUGCAAGUCGAACGAGCGGCGGAGGGGGGAGUAUUGCUUGGGACUUGCCCAGUAGCGGGGGAUAACAGUUGGAAACGACUGCUAAUACCGCAUACGACUGGAUGGCUCAGGUGGGAUUAGCUAGUUGGUGGGGUAAUGGCUCACCAAGGCGACGAUCCCUAGCUGGUCUGAGAGGAUGAUCAGCCACACUGGAACUGAGACACGGUCCAGACUCCUACGGGAGGCAGCAGUGGGGAAUAUUGGACAAUGGGGGAAACCCUGAUCCAGCCAUGCCGCGUGUGUGAAGAAGGUCUUCGGGUUGUAAAGCACUUUCAGUGGGGAGGCGUUACUCGCAGAAGAAGCACCGGCUAACUCCGUGCCAGCAGCCGCGGUAAUUC